AUUGAACGCUGGCGGAAUGCUUUACACAUGCAAGUCGAACGGUAGAGGGGGCAACCCCUCGAGAGUGGCGAACGGGUGAGUAAUAUAUCGGAACGUGCCCAGUCGUGGGGGAUAACGUAGCGAAAGUUACGCUAAUACCGCAUACGAACUAAGGAUGCAAGCGGGGGAUCGCAAGACCUCGCGCGAUUGGAGAGGCCGAUAUCAGAUUAGGUAGUUGGUGGGGUAAAGGCUCACCAAGCCAACGAUCUGUAGCUGGUCUGAGAGUACGACCAGCCACACUGGAACUGAGACACGGUCCAGACUCCUACGGGAGGCAGCAGUGGGGAAUUUUGGACAAUGGACGCAAGUCUGAUCCAGCCAUUCCGCGUGCAGGAUGAAGGCCCUCGGGUUGUAAACUGCUUUUGUACGGAACGAAAAGGUCUCUCUUAAUACGGGGGACUCAUGACGGUACCGUAAGAAUAAGCACCGGCUAACUACGUGCCAGCCGCCGCCGUAA
rnacentral:rRNA from 1 species